UACGGGGGGGCAAGCGUUGUUCGGAAUUACUGGGCGUAAAGGGCUCGUAGGCGGCCAACUAAGUCGGACGUGAAAUCCCUCGGCUUAACCGGGGAACUGCGUCCGAUACUGGAUGGCUUGAGUUCGGGAGAGGGAUGCGGAAUUCCAGGUGUAGCGGUGAAAUGCGUAGAUAUCUGGAGGAACACCGGUGGCGAAGGCGGCAUCCUGGACCGACGACUGACGCUGAGGAGCGAAAGCCAGGGGAGCAAACGGG
rnacentral:rRNA from 1 species